UCAAGGUACCAGAAACGCGGUUCAUUUUAUUAUCGAUCGAUUUGCGUUGUAUUGUAGCCUAUAGCGCUAAGUUAAAUUAUUUAUACUGCUUUAAUAUAAAUAGUUAAAAUGUUAAAUAUUCAUAAAUAUGAAGCUAGUGAUUAACGUGAUCCACUUACAAUAUCAGAGAAUAUUAACGUUAUAGUUUGAUAUUCGACGUUUUAUAAUCCCGAAACAAUGGAUUGGAUAAUUUCGGACGAAUUAGGGCUUACUGUGGGCCAUGUGAUAGGUUGGGGAGCAGCUGGUGCUAUGAUAGUAGGUGGCGUCGCCCCUUACAUCCCACAGUACUUGCAAAUCAAGAAAACUCAAGAUGCUGAAGGAUUCUCUUUAUACGUUUGUUUAACUUUACUCGUAGCAAAUACAUUGAGGAUAUUAUUUUGGUUUGGUAAACGCUAUGAAAUUCCUCUAUUAAUCCAAAGUUUAGUAAUGAACAUGACAAUGUUUGGGAUGAUACAUCUCUGUGUAAAUGUACGGAAAAAGAACCAAAUUAUUAGAGCUAGAGAGAGAAUAUUCACAGGUGCAAUAUUCAUGUUAUAUAUACUGUUGUGUUGUGUGAACGGCUCAGACCAGCCGGACCAAACGGCACGUUGGUUGGAUCAGCACAGCAGCUACAGUGGCGGGGAGAAGCCCCAUCGCUUCUAUGAUAUGGAAAGGAAGUAUUUCUGGGCCUGGACAGACUUCCAGAGCUAUAUAGACUGUAUGCUGGUGUUCUCGGUGUUAGGAGGAGCGAUCACCUACCUGCUAAUAGAGUUCUCACCAUUUGUGGAACUUAUUGGGUUUCUCGCUCUAUUCACCGAGGCCAUGCUUGGUGCACCACAGAUAGCCAGAAAUCAUAAGAAUAAAAGUACUGAAGGCAUGAGUGUUUGCAUGGUGGUAAUGUGGACGUGUGGUGAUUUGUUCAAGACUACAUACUUCGUUUUAAGAGAAGCACCUCCUCAGUUUUGGUUGUGCGGGUGCCUUCAAGUCUCAUUAGAUAUUGUAAUACUCUCUCAAAUGGUCAGGUGAUGACACUCUGACGAUAUCGGUUCGCAUGUGGGAGCCCAGCCUUCCGAUAUUCAGUCCUCGCUUUAGCAACGGGUUACCAACCUGUAAGGGGUAUGGUGGUACCGCCACAACACCGCGGCGGCCAGGCGGGUGCGUCGGGGCGACUAGCAAUGGACAGAGACCGACUUAUAGCACCAGCCGGCCGAGGCCCGGCCAUCCAACGCGAUCAGGACGUCCAUCGCCUCCAUCGCCUUCUGUGCCCCUUACUCGGUACUCUGCCUUCCCUAUAUAUUAUGACGAUAAUCUCCAUAAUAUUAUUACGGGUUGUGUGAGAGUACUCUCCAACUGAUAGUUGAUGUAAACUCAAGCGAUGACCAAAAUGUAUGGUGCGAACUGAUAUUGGACAUUUAAACGAAAACUGCUAAUCGAAUUAGACAUUUAUUUCGUUCUAGUGGUUGCAAUAAUUCCUUAGGUAGACGGUGCUAUAGGUUUGUGCCUAAAUUAAUAUCAACGAGGGUCAUGAAAGAAGUACUAAUGAUGAUUUAUUGUUUUUAUAAUGGUGAAAUAGUCAUCGAUAACGAUAGUUAAAUAAAGUUAGAGUGACCAAAAUGUUUCCUUGUCUUUGUAAGGUGAUGAACUAGUCCUAACGAUUAGACACAUUGUAAGUCUAAAAAUGCUUGAUAGGUUUAAAUAUUAAUAGUAAUGUGGAUAGCUAAGUGCAAAGAUACAAGAAGUAAAUAAAAGUUCACAGUUUACACGCAAUAUUAGUACAAGCAAGCAUUUUUAGCGUAACAAGACGGGUUGUUGACGACAGCAAUAAUUUUCGAAAGUGUUGCUUAUAUUAAAGUACAAUACAUGUUAUAUUUUAAAUACCUACGACUUUAUGUAUAGCAUCUAUAUAAUUUUAUUACAUUUGUUAACAAAGUGAGAAAUAUGCCCCAACAAAAGUACUACAAAAGGGCUUCUAUAAACAUAAUUGUUAUUGUACGUUGGAAUUUGUAAAUAUAUGUUUAUGAUAAGAAGUCAAAUAAUCAGUACUAUUUCAUAGUGAUACAAGUUAUAGGGUACAAUAACGUUUAGAUUCUAACUUCCGUAAAAAUGCCAAUUUAGAUAAAAAUACAUAAAAUAUACAAGAGAUAUUGAUGUAUAUUUAUACUGUAACAAUUUAUUAAUGUAUCCCCGAGAAACCGAAGUAUGUAGUAUGAGUUCAAGUUCAUUAAUUUGGGGACUGGAUUACCGACGUAUUUUGCAAUGGACCUUUUUUAUUGAAAGCGAUGAUUUUCGUCUACAGUAAGUUUACAUACAGUUUCUGCUUUUAUAACGAGGUGUUACGAAAUAUUUACAUUCCUCGAUAUUUUAUUCCAUUUUACCUUUUUGGUAUGUGUACACGAAAAUGUUUGUGACGAAUAUAAUUCCGAGUUGUUUUCUAUAAAAACAUGUUCCAAUAACUUCUGAUAGUGCUUCUACAUAACUAUUUUGUAACGUAUAGAAUAACCAUGACUGUUAAAAUUCUUCCUAUAUUAUGUUUAGUGUUAGUAGAACAAUUUUUUGGCUUUGAAUGUGUUUUAUAUUCUAACUUAAAAUUUUAUUAAAAAAAUGUUUCAAAUAAUAUUUGCACCAACCAGGAAGUGCACUCGCUUUAAUAAAAAAAUGACUUGUGUAAAAUCCUUUGUGAUUAUUCUGUGCUGAAGUAUUUUACACAUACCUUAUAUUUCAAGGGUUGUAACAUGUAAUUAAUGGAUUAUUUAUUAGGAAAAUUUCAUAUUUUAGUGUUAAAAGUCAUUUUAAAUUACGCUGUGGUUACUUUCAAGGCUUUGUUACACAUUCAUUUAACUCAUAAUAACAUUUAGUUAUUUAAUUAAAAAAUAAACUUAUGAAGUAUUAUUGUCGAUGCAUGUUAUUUAACAGUCAUUUAUCACCACUAUGUACAAAUGCGUUUAUAUUUUAGCAAAUUGUAGUAUUUUUAAUACCAUUAUGUUAUUGUGAAUGUAUAAACUAUGAAUCCUAAAUAUUGCGUAGAUUUUAGGUGAAUAUUUAAAGGGUGCUCCGUUUUACUAAAAUUUCACUAUUCAUGCAUGUCUCUUGUAAAUCCAUUAUUUAGUCUAGUGAUAGAUAAAUUUAG